CGCCUGGGGGGCCGCCAAGCCUCGCGAGACAGGGGCCGUCAAGGGCCGAGCCAACUGUUGCCGGUGGUUGCGGGGUCGCGGCGGGGCGUCCUCGUGGGCGCCGCCCGGUGGGUCCCGCAGGCUGACUUUCCGGUCGCCUUGCGUAUUUCCCUUCCAGAGCGAAGGCGCGUCAAAUGCCCGGCAAGCGGAGUGGUGACGAUGAGGACCCACAGAAGCUUAAAUGGCCUCGCGGGCGGCCUCUGGGCCCCAAAGCCACGGGCUGUCGGCUGCGGUGGGGGCGGCGGCCGAGGCCACCCCAGGCGGAGCCGAGGCGAUUGGGCAUAUUGCUCCCUGGCCAGACACGAAUCCAGAGGAGGUGGAGGGUCAUACCUCUGGAAGACAAGAUGAAAAUUCGCGAGAAGCUGGAAGAAGGCGUGAGUAAAACCGACGUGGGGCGCCUGUUGGGCGUCAACGAAUAGACCGUGCGCACCAUUAGGAGAAACGCGAAGGUCAUCAGGGCCGGCAUGGAGACUGUGUCGCCUCUCCGCUCCAAGAGCUAAUGAAGAAGUUGCAAAAAUCAUGGAGUCUGCAACACGGAUGGACUUUAACUUCACUGAUAUCGAACAGGGGGAAAUUAAUGAGGUGCUCAAGUUUCAAGCUUUGUUCAUAACCGAAAGAGAGUCUAUAUCAAUAAAUAUGGAAGAAGACAAGACCCUGGAGCUAGAGGUAAAGAUGAGUCUAAGGAAACUGAAUGCUUUCUUAUGCCAGGCCUCGGACCUCAUUGAUGCUGCAAAGGAUAGGGAUCCUUUCCCGUAUCGAAGUUUGGCCUUUAAAAAAGACUUCAGUAAAUUGUUGUAUACCUGUAAAGAGGUGCAAGAGAACCUUCAAAAUAAAGCAAAGGAGUUGAACAAAGAAGACACAAAGAGGAGGUAGUGUGGGUGUAGAAGAUGGAUACAAAAUCUGAGUCUGAAGGGGAGUCUGAAUCUGAAUCCCAAAAGGAGGAGAAGGUAGAGACAGAGAAAGAGGAUAAGAAGCCUCCAGAAGAAGAUCCUGGACCCUCAGGCGUUGGCGCUGAGACUUACUGUAUCUGAAGACUCUGCCGAAGCUAUAAAUGCAGAAUUGGAUUUUUGGAAUCUAACCUUAGAAUUGAAUCUGGAGAGAGUAGAAGUGCCUGAGUUGAAGAAGUGAAUCCAGAGGCGUUUUCUUCCAAAUGAUGAUUCAUCUCUUGCCAUUCUUCCCCUCUUGUUCCAACAUCACUUUCAUCAUGACCAUGCUUAUCAUCAGCCACACAUCUAUAUUGUUUUGUCAUUCAACAAACAUUUAUUGAGCAUAAGCUAUCUGGGGUCCCAUGCUAAACUUGGGGACAUGAUCUCAGGAAGCCAUCUCAGGAUCUAAGAUCCUGGCAGCUUCUUUCCUGUCCUAUCCAGUGCUCAGGACCCUUAGCCUGCAGCUCCAUUCAGCUAUCACCGGCAGCUACGUAUCCGGCACUUACUCCAUCGUCUUUGUCAACUGUCCCAACGAGCAGAUUGCCAGAGAUAUUGCCAGGUCUCGUGAAGAGGCUCGGGUGCUGCCCCAGGAGGCUGGGGGAGCUACCGGGAUGCUCCACGGUGGCCCCUUUGGGCUCCCUCUCUUGCUUCUGACAACCCUGUGUGUCCACUACGCAGCUGUCAGCUUGGGGUGAUAAGAGGACCACGGCUGAAUGAACCCCCCCCCCACCCAUGGAUCCUGCUCCUGGGCCUGAAAAUGGCUAUACUGGAUAAGAAGCUGGCUGCCUCUGUGAACAUCCUGCCCAAGGCAUCCUCACUGUACUUUUGGAAUGGAGAAAUAGAAGAAGCCACUGAAAUCCUGUUGCUAAUAAAGACAAAGACCUCCAAGGUCCGCAUGCUGUUCAGCUAUAUCAGGUAAUGCUGGUGUGUCUUUUCAGCCAGGGAUGUCCUGGGAACGAAGUGAAUGAGCUUGAAAAGCAAGAGACCUAGCGCCUAGUCACCAACCUCUCAUAUGACCCUGGGCAUGUCCCUGUCCCUCAGAUUCUCCAGCUGUAAAAUGAGAGGCUAGGGUGAGUGAAUGGAGACAGUAGUUCUCAAGAUUUUGGUCUUCGGAUCCCAGGGGAGCUUAAGGUUAUGUUAAAGUUUAUUGCAUUGGAAAGUAAAACUAUGAAAUUAAAAAAAUGUUUUAGUUCAUUUAAAAUAAUAACAAUACAACUGUUCUAUAUAAACAUAAGUAAUACAUUUUUAUGGGAAGUAACCAUAUUUUCCAAGAAACAAAGUGAGAAAAAUGGCAUCAUUUUACAUUUUGGCAACAUCUGGCUUGUUGAGAAGGCUGCGUCUCCUCAGAAAACAUACUCUCUCUUAAGUACUGGGACACUUUUACGCUCAUGAUGGUAAACUCAAACUUUCAAACUUCUAAUUUUUGCUUGAAAACAUGAAUUUUUUUCCUCAACAAAUGGUAUCAGUUGAGUGAUCACUUCAUUUGAGUGAUCGGCUCACUUUGUUCACAUUAGAGAAUAACGUCUGCCUAAUGCUCAAACCACAGUAACCAGCAUUUGUAAACAUGACAGACAAAUUAUGGUCACUCAGGCUUGAAAUUAAAAAUGGUGUUCCAUGAAAAAAAGUGCAGUUUGUUUAGUUUGGCUUGUGGCUUCAACGGGCAGAUAGGUUUAAGACAACAUUGAACUUCAGUAUCCGGCAGAAGUGCUUUAAUGUGCACUUUCCAUUUCGUCAUUAAUGAGACAGGGACUCCAGGGCUGAAGUGCAAUAGCAAUAGCGAUCUUCGCUGUUUUAUUGAGGAUGUUCUUGAGUGAACGUGACUUUUCUGAAGCCCAAGCGUGCAGUGGAGAAGAGCACCGUGAGGCUCAUACGCUGUGGUGCCACUGCCUUGCCGCGUGCUGAGGUGCCAGCAGUCUUACUCGGCAUUGUUUUGCACCAGCAGUGCAGGGAUCAACACAGUAAGAAGAUUAAUAGAAAAUUAGUAUUUUUCGGGGCGCCUGCGUGGCUCCGUUGGUUAAGCGGCCGACUUCGGUUCAGGUCAUGAUCUCGCGGUUCGUGGGUUCGAGCCCUGCAUCCCACUCCGUGCUGACAGCUCUGAGCCUGGAGCCUGCUUCAGAUUCUGUGUCUCCCUCUCUCCCCUCCCCGCCCCCCCCCCACUCUCUCUCUCUCAAAAUAAACAUUAAAAAAAUGAAAACUAGUAUUCUUCUGAAAACAGUUUUGGCCUCAUGGACCUGGCAGAGUGUUGGAAUUCCCCAGGGGUCAGUGGGCCUCACUCUGAAAACUGCUGGUCUAGAUUGGUGUUCACGGUAUGGUUUGGGGAGUAAUUGGCAUCACCUGGAAGCUUGCUAGGACUGCCUCCUCACUGUCACCCCAAACUAAGGAGUCAAACUACAGUUUAACAAGAUCCCCAUGGGAUUCCUACGCACGUUAAGGCUCGAGAAGCGCUGGCUUAAAUCAUUGAUGCUUGGGGCGCCCGGGUGGCUCAGUUAAGUGUCCGACUUCAGCUCAGGUCACGGUCUCCUGAUUCGUGAGUUCCAGCCCUGCAUCGGGCUCUCUGCUGUCAGCACAGCUUCGGAUCCUCUGUCCCCCCUCUCUCUCCGCCCCUCCCCAACAUAUGUGUGCUCUCUCUCUUCCUCUCAAAGGAAAAAAAAAAUCAGUGAUUCUUGGUGGUGGCACGGCAGCUCUUCCUACUAACGUGUUAAAACGGUCUUAUUCUGUGUGUCCAAACACUGCCUUCAUACACACACUGAGUUCUGUAUGUCUGCUAAUAAAAACACAUACGUGAGGGAGCUCCUUUUCUGUUUGCUAGAGGGGAUGCUGCCUGGUUUUUGAAUCAUUGAAUAAACCCAAUAAGAUCCUAAAAAAAAAAAAAAA